rnacentral:rRNA from 1 species
CCUACGGGAGGCAGCAGUGAGGAAUAUUGGUCAAUGGGCGCGAGCCUGAACCAGCCAAGUAGCGUGAAGGAUGACUGCCCUACGGGUUGUAAACUUCUUUUAUAAAGGAAUAAAGUGAGGCACGUGUGCCUUUUUGUAUGGACUUUAUGAAUAAGGAUCGGCUAACUCCGUGCCAGCAGCCGCGGUAAUACGGAGGAUCCGAGCGUUAUCCGGGUUUAAUGGGGUUAAAGGGAGGGUAGGGGGGUUGUUAAGUCAGGUGUGAAAGUUUGCGGCCCAACCGUAAAAUUGCAAUUGAUACUGGCAGUCUUGAGUACAGUUGAGGUAGGCGGAAUUCGUGGUGUAGCGGUGAAAUGCUUAGAUAUCACGAAGAACUCCGAUUGCGAAGGCAGCUUACUAAACUGCCACUGACAUUGAUGCUCGAAAGUGUGGGUAUCAAACAGGAUUAGAUACCCCGGUAGUC